rnacentral:rRNA from 1 species
GAUGAACGCUAGCGGGAGGCCUAACACAUGCAAGCCGAGCGGUAGAGAUUCUUCGGAAUCUUGAGAGCGGCGCACGGGUGCGGAACACGUGUGCAACCUGCCUUUAUCUGGGGGAUAGCCUUUCGAAAGGAAGAUUAAUACCCCAUAAUAUAUUGAAUGGCAUCAUUUGAUAUUGAAAACUCCGGUGGAUAGAGAUGGGCACGCGCAGGAUUAGAUAGUUGGUGAGGUAACGGCUCACCAAGUCAACGAUCCUUAGGGGGCCUGAGAGGGUGAUCCCCCACACUGGUACUGAGACACGGACCAGACUCCUACGGGAGGCAGCAGUGAGGAAUAUUGGACAAUGGGUGAGAGCCUGAUCCAGCCAUCCCGCGUGAAGGAUGACGGCCCUAUGGGUUGUAAACUUCUUUUGUAUAGGGAUAAACCUACUCUCGUGAGAGUAGCUGAAGGUACUAUACGAAUAAGCACCGGCUAACUCCGUGCCAGCCGCCGCCGUAAGAC